GGGUGGUCUCGGGUGAUGCACCCCAAAUCGGGCUCCCUCCUCUCUGGUUCUGGGUGCAUCACCCGAGAACCU
rfam:Myotis brandtii contig238603, whole genome shotgun sequence.